rnacentral:rRNA from 1 species
AUGGGUUCGGUCCGUCUUUUCCUGAUCUUUGUUUGUCCCCCCAAAAAAGGCGUGAGAGGACGUUGCAGAUGUCCGGGACGGACACGACUUCUUCUAACGCUAGAAGACCACAGGAAGAAACCCGGGACCAGAGCAUGUCGUGAAAGACGCACACGGGGCGGGCGUGCUUCGACUGUGUCUCCGAGGCACAGUUGA